GUGCUCACUUUGGCAGCAUAUAUACGAAAAUUGGAACGAUACAGAGAUUAGCAUGGCCCCUGUGCAAGGAUGACACGCAAAUUCAUGAAGCUUUCCCUAUUUUU
ensembl:snRNA U6 U6 spliceosomal RNA